GCUGAACGCUUUCUUCUUUCCUAAUACAUGCAAGUCGAGCGAACAGACGAGGAGCUUGCUCCUCUGACGUUAGCGGCGGACGGGUGAGUAACACGUGGAUAACCUACCUAUAAGACUGGGAUAACUUCGGGAAACCGGAGCUAAUACCGGAUAAUAUAUUGAACCGCAUGGUUCAAUAGUGAAAGACGGUUUUGCUGUCACUUAUAGAUGGAUCCGCGCCGCAUUAGCUAGUUGGUAAGGUAACGGCUUACCAAGGCAACGAUGCGUAGCCGACCUGAGAGGGUGAUCGGCCACACUGGAACUGAGACACGGUCCAGACUCCUACGGGAGGCAGCAGUAGGGAAUCUUCCGCAAUGGGCGAAAGCCUGACGGAGCAACGCCGCGUGAGUGAUGAAGGUCUUCGGAUCGUAAAACUCUGUUAUUAGGGAAGAACAAAUGUGUAAGUAACUAUGCACGUCUUGACGGUACCUAAUCAGAAAGCCAAGGCUAACUACGUG
rnacentral:rRNA from 1 species